CCAGUGUUUGAACACGAUUUGGUGCUCGUUGAUCGGUUCAGUGUGAAAGAUUCCUUGCGAUCACGGAUUGUGUGGCGAUUCUUCUGUGUGUUUCCGAAUAAUACCUUUGCAUAAAAUUGAGUGAAUUCCUAAAUAAUCGAUGGCGAAAAUGAAUACUCCGUACAGAAUCUACUUUCCACAGAAACCGCAACACAAGGAUGAAGUAGUGAUAAAGUUCAAAUUGAUGGAAAAUAAUGAAAAUGCUUCGUUCAAGUUUUGCACAGCUGCGGGUAAAACACAGAGAACGCACCAACUGGAAAUUGAGCUAACUAAACUGCGCAGUAAACUAAAGCUAACAUGCGAGGGUAUGGGUGAGAAACAAGAGAAUGAAAUCGAUAACCAGCUGGUUCUAAAUCGAGAAGUAAUCUAUACGCUGGUGUUUCGCUUGUUCGAUGGGAACCAUCCAUCCAUCGAUGGAAAUCAAACAUCACCAUCAGAACGAACAGAACAUGAAAAAAAACCCGAAUUCAAAAUUGAAGUUUUCCUUGAACGUACCCAAGCUAACUCGAUUAACGUAGAUAUGCCUCUGCAAGUAAAUUUAGAUCAGCUUCUUUAUGUCGAGCUGGGUGGCGCUUUCGAGUACGUAAAAGCAUUAAUGUUCCGUUUCAAUGAUGGUCGUCCAGCCAAUGAUCAAGCGAGGGUGCCCGUAGGCGAAUGUAAGUGCAAUUGUGCGUGGUGCACUUGUUGUGUUAACCCCAAAUAGUGAACUGGAAUGGACGCACAUGACUCCUCCCACGAGUUGCUAUGCUUUCUCACGAGCGAUCGUGGUUAGCAUCAAGUUCGCGAGCAUCUUAUUUAUUCAACAUAUUAUAUGCGUUAUCAAUGAUUCAACGUCUGAUUCAUGACCGAUCAUGAAUGAAUGAGUAAUCGAUUACGUCUUUGCUGCCAUAAUAACAGCCACUUUGCUCUCUGUUAGAUUAGAUAUUGUGAAGCCAAAAGCAUAAACAUCAUGUUCAGUGUUCGAAGCAAUGUCCUAACCUCCUACACAAGCAUUUUUUUAAAUGUGAA